UCUGUAUGUUCUGUCCAGGCAAAUCAAAUCAUACAUGAGUACAACAGGUAUUGCAAAAGAGAAAACGAACAGUGCAGAAUAUAGUGUCGCAACUACCGAGAAAGUACAGAUUAAAAAAAAGAACAAGGGCUGCAACGAGGUAGAUUGGAAGAUCGGAAAUUCACCCCCAACAUAUGAGAGGUCUGUUCAAGUGUCUGAUAACAGCGGGGAAGAAGCUGUUCUUGAAUAUGGACGUACCUGGUUUAAUGUUCUGUCAAUGCUGCUUUAACAGAGGGAAGACUAUUCUUAAACAUUCUCUCUCCCCAACCCUCAUCCUCCUUGGUGCAAUGUUUUUUUUCUGUUCACAAUGUUCUAAAAACUGGCAAGACUCACUUGUAUUUAUUGGUUUAUGUAUGAUUGCUGGAUAUUGAUUUUUGCUUCAACAUUCUAGUUUGUAAUAUCACUGGUCCACAGGUACUAUACUUUCACUGUUGCAAACAGAAUUCUUCUACUCAUGAUUUUUUAUGAAAGGUCUUAAAAUUUAAUGGUAUUUUAAUUCCAUGUUACAGUAAAUUUCAUCAACAAUGCUAAAUCAACAUAUGGCAUUUAAAUGAAUUCCAUUCCUCUCUCUUUGUGACCAGACUAUUUGCUGUAUUCUGAUCUGAGGAUCUAGAUCACUAGUUAAUGCUGCAAAUUUUAAGGCAAUUCACAGUCACGGUAUUAACAGUGAUUUUAUUAAGGAAUGCAGAUGGAAAACAAUUUAACUUGAUUUAAACAGGAUGCAACAUCAAUUAUUAACACUAUAAAUACAAUACAGGAAACCAGGAAAUAUAGAAUUGCAU